rnacentral:rRNA from 1 species
UACGGAAUGUGCAAACGUUAUUCGGAAUCACUGGGCUUAAAGAGUCCGUAGGCGGCAUGUUAGGUGAGGUGUGAAAUCCCCCGGCUCAACCGAGGAAUUGCGCUUCAAACCGGCGUGCUAGAGGAAGAUAGAGGUGGGCGGAACUGAUGGUGGAGCGGUGAAAUGCGUUGAUAUCAUCAGGAACACCGGAGGCGAAGGCGGCCCACUGGGUCUUUUCUGACGCUGAGGCACGAAAGCUAGGGUAGCGAACGGG